rnacentral:rRNA from 1 species
UUGAACGCUGGCGGCAUGCCUUACACAUGCAAGUCGAACGGCAGCACGGGAGCAAUCCUGGUGGCGAGUGGCGAACGGGUGAGUAAUACAUCGGAACGUGCCCAGUUGUGGGGGAUAGCCCGGCGAAAGCCGGAUUAAUACCGCAUACGACCUACUGGUGAAAGCGGGGGAUCGCAAGACCUUGCGCUAUUGGAGCGGCCGAUGUCGGAUUAGCUAGUUGGUGGGGUAAAAGCCUACCAAGGCUACGAUCCGUAGCUGGUCUGAGAGGACGACCAGCCACACUGGGACUGAGACACGGCCCAGACUCCUACGGGAGGCAGCAGUGGGGAAUUUUGGACAAUGGGCGCAAGCCUGAUCCAGCCAUGCCGCGUGCGGGAAGAAGGCCUUCGGGUUGUAAACCGCUUUUGUCAGGGAAGAAACGGUUUGGGCUAAUACCCCGAACUAAUGACGGUACCUGAAGAAUAAGCACCGGCUAACUACGU